AUCUAGGACUUUCAUAGCUAGAGAGGAGAAGUUAGUGUCUGGCUUCAACAUUUCAGAGGACAGGCUGACUCUCUUGUUAGGGGUGAAUGCAGCUGGUGACUUUAAGUUGAAGCCAAUGCUCAUUGACUAUUCUGAAAAUUCUAGAGCCCUUAAAAAUUAUGCUCAAUCUACUCUGCCUGUGCUCUAUAAAUGGAACAAAAAAGCCUGGAUGACAGCAUAUCUAUUUAGAGCAUGGUUUACUGAAUAUUUAAGCCCACUGUUGAGACCUGCUCAGAAGAAAAGAUUCUUUUCAAAAUAUUACUGCUCAUUGACAGUGCACCUGGUCACCCAAAAUUCAGAUGGAGAUGUACAAAGAAAUUAAUGUUGUUUUCAUGCCUGUUAACCACAACAUCCAUGCAGCAGCCCAUGGAUAAAGGAAUAUUUUCAGUUUUCAAGUGUUAUUAGUUAAGAAACAUUUUGUAAGGUUAUAGCUGCCAUAGGUAGUGAUUCCUUUCAUGGAUCUGGGCAAAGUAAAUUUAAAACCUUCUGGAAGGGAUUCACCAUUUUAGAUGCCAUUAAGAACAUUUGUGGUUCAUGGGAGGAGGUCAAAGUAUCAACAUCAACAGGAGUUUGAAAGAAGUCGAUUUCGACUCAUGGAUGAUUUCAAGGUGCUCACGACUUCAGUGGAGGAAAUAACUGCAAAAGUGGGGGAAAUGGCAAGAGAACUAGAAUUAGAAGUGGGGUCUGAGGAUAUGACUGAAUUGCUGUAAUCUCGAGAUAAAAUUUGAACAGAUGUUUCUUGUGGAUGAGCAGAGAAAGUGGUUUCUUGAGAUGGGACCUACUCCUGGUAAAGAUGCUGUGAACACUGUUGAAAUGAUAAUGUAUUACAAUAAUUUAUAACAAUAACUAUGUAUUACAUAAACUUAGUGAUAAAGCAGCAGUAAGGUUUGAGAGAACUGAAUCCAAUUUUGCGAGAAAUUCUGCUGUGGGUAGCAUGCUAUCAAAUGUAUUGCAUACUUUAGAGAAAUCUUUAAUGAAAGGAAGAGUCAGUGUGACAAACUUCAUUGUCUUAUUUUAAGAAAUUGUCACAGAUACCCCAACCUUUAGCAGUCACCAUCCUGAUCAGUCAGCAGCCAUCAACAUUGAGGCAAGACCCUCCACCAGGAGAAAGAUUGCAACUUGCAGAGGGCUCAGAAAAUUGUUAGCUUUUUUUUUUUUUUUUUAAUGAGACGGAGUCUUGCUUGGUUGCCCGGGCUAGAGUGCAGUAGCAUGGUCUUGGCUCACUGCAACCUCCGCCUUCUGGGUUCAAGCAAUUCUCCUGUCUCAGCCUCCCAAGUAGCUAGGAUUAUAGGCACGUGCCACCAUGUCCAGCUAAUUUUUGUAUUUUUAGUAGAGACAGGG
rnacentral:lncRNA from 1 species